rnacentral:lncRNA from 1 species
CAGCACUGAAUACCUACUAUCUCCAUUUCCUAUUAUGGAUAGAUUCCUGGCAAAUGGUCUUGGCUUGGGCUUUUUAAUAUCCUGAAUGCUUCUUCCUUGAAGGACCCAAUGUUUCUUCCAGACUUUACAAAAAGAGCACUGUCUUUGGUGCUGAAACAACACAUGGUCAAGAUAUGGAGCUGCUUUGGUUGAGGGAUGGCCUUGGAACCAACCCAGAAAAGGUCAUUCUGUACCUACAUUGGUCUUAUUGCUGGGGAUUUCUUGCAUAUGAGCCAAGAUGGUGAGUAGCGAGUGAAAACGAGGGAGCUGCUAUCAUGUGGCCAGCUACAAAACAUCAAACUAUGGUCUGCUAAACUGGGAACCAGUAGGGCAAAAAUGCUGGGCACUGGAUGAGAACAGACUGCAACAUAUUCAAUGAGGAUGUCAUAAAAAAACAGGUGAAUGAAAAAGAUGAAUGGUCAGAGAGUGAGAGCAAGAAUCAGGU